AAUGAACGUUGGCGGCGUGGAUUAGGCAUGCAAGUCGUGCGGAAAGGCUCCUUCGGGAGUACUCGAGCGGCGAAAGGGAGAGUAACGCGUGGAUAUCUACCCCCUGGACUGGGACAGCGGCGGGAAACUGCCGGUAAUACCAGAUAACGUCUGCGGACCAAAGGUGUGAUUCCGCCGGGGGAUGAGUCCGCGUCCUAUUAGCUUGUUGGUGGGGUAACGGCCUACCAAGGCGAAGGUGGGUACCGGGUGUGAGAGCAUGGCCCGGCUCACUGGGACUGAGACACUGCCCAGACACCUACGGGUGGCUGCAGUCGAGAAUCUUCGGCAAUGGGCGCAAGCCUGACCGAGCGACGCCGCGUGCGGGAUGAAGGCCUUCGGGUUGUAAACCGCUGUCAGAGGGGAGGAAAUGCAUGAGGGUUCUCUCUCAUGUUUGACCUAUCCUCAGAGGAAGUACGGGCUAAGUUCGUGCCAGCCGCCGCAGUAACAC
rnacentral:rRNA from 1 species